rfam:Triticum aestivum genome assembly, contig: Triticum_aestivum_CS42_TGACv1_scaffold_404942_5BL
AAACUAUUACCUCCGUCCCAAAUUACUCGUCUUAGAUUUGUUUAGAUACGAAUGUGUCUAACGCUAAAAUGUGUCUAGAUAUAUCCAUAUCUACACAAAUCUAAGACAUGUAAUUCGGGGAGGAGGGAGUAUGUU